UACGUAGGGGGCAAGCGUUGUCCGGAUUCAUUGGGCGUAAAGAGCUCGUAGGCGGCUUGGCAAGUCGGGUGUGAAACCUCCAGGCUCAACCUGGAGACGCCACCCGAUACUGCCAUGGCUAGAGUCCGGUAGGGGACCACGGAAUUCCUGGUGUAGCGGUGAAAUGCGCAGAUAUCAGGAGGAACACCGGUGGCGAAGGCGGGACUCUGGGCCGAUACUGACGCUGAGGAGCGAAAGCGUGGGGAGCGAACAGG
rnacentral:rRNA from 1 species